rnacentral:rRNA from 1 species
AACGAACGCUGGCGGCAGGUCUUAGGCAUGCAAGUCGAACGGGUGUAGCAAUACAUCAGUGGCGCACGAGUGAGUAACGCGUGGGAAUUUGCCCAUCGGUGGGGAAUAACGUUUGGAAACGAACGCUAAUACCGCAUACGUCGAGAAAUCGAGAAAGAUUUAUCGCCGAUGGAUAAGCCCGCGUUGGAUUUGCUUGUUGGUAGGGUAAUGGCCUACCAAGGCGAUGAUCCAUAGCUGGUCUGAGAGGACGAUCAGCCACGCUGGGACUGAGACACGGCCCAGACUCCUACGGGAGGCAGCAGCUAAGAAUAUUGGACAAUGGAGGAAACUCUGAUCCAGCCAUGCCGCGUGAGUGAAGAAGGCCUUCGGGUUGUAAAGCUCUUUCAGGUGGGAAGAUAAUGACGGUACCACCAGAAGAAGCCCCGGCUAACUUCGUGCCAGCCGCCGCAGUAA